rfam:Callithrix jacchus chromosome 16, whole genome shotgun sequence
AAGGACAGAAUAACGGACUCCUAGAUUACCAAGCCGCACCCAGAGGAUCAUCCCAGGAGCCCUUGGAGGCUGAGGAGCUCAUUGAGACUGGUGUAUCUGGAGACUCCAGGAUGAAGACCCAGCUUGGGGCUGUCAAAG